rnacentral:rRNA from 1 species
GAUGGGAGCUACCAUGCAGUCGACGGCAGCACAGGAGAGCUUGCUCUCUGGGUGGCGAGUGGCGGACGGGUGAGGAAUACAUCGGAAUCUACCUUUUCGUGGGGGAUAACGUAGGGAAACUUACGCUAAUACCGCAUACGUCCUAAGGGAGAAAGUGGGGGAUCGCAAGACCUCACGCGGAUAGAUGAGCCGAUGUCGGAUUCGCUAGUUGGCGGGGUAAAGGCCCACCAAGGCGACUAUCCGUACCUGGUCUGAGAGGAUGAUCAGCCACACUGGAACUGAGACACGGUCCAGACUCCUACGGGAGGCAGCAGUGGGGAAUAUUGGACAAUGGGCGCAAGCCUGAUCCAGCCAUACCCCGUGGGUGAACAAGGCCUUCAGGCUGCCAAGUCCUUUUGCUGGCACAGAAAUCCUAUUGAUCAAUACUCCAUAGGGCUGACGGUACCCAUAUAACAAGCACCGGUCUAACUUCGUGCCACCUGCCGCGGUCUUCAGAACCGGUGCUCCGCUCCCCUCCGUAAUUUCUGCGCCUUUAACCGCGCAUUAGGUGGAUUGUUUAAGUCCGUUUCUGAAAGACCCUGCGAUUCAUCCUGACCAAAAUGCCAGCGUCUGUAGUAGCGACACUUCCCUGGAGAUCUAACGGGUGGGCCUAAAUUCCCCCGCUCUAACCAAAGCUAUCGGGGUAAAAAAAUUCCUUUGGAAAAUUCGUGGGCCCAAAUGCUCGCCAAAAAGGAGCUCUCCCCCCGCGUUCAAAUUCAUCCCCGUAAUGGGGCGAGCCAAAACUGGUCUAAAAAACCCUUUUUUC